rnacentral:lncRNA from 1 species
CAACCAGCAACUUAGUACUUCUUUUGAGAAUUUUGUUAAAGUUCUAGACUGAGCAAAGCGGCUUGAUAUUGCCAAAGUCUACAUUUCCCUAUUUUGGAGAAUUGUUGCUAUACUUGUAAACCUCCCAGUCUCCAUGUGUUCUUAGAAGGAUAAUGAUAGUUCUAACCUUGUAUCUGCAAUUGCUGUUGGUACCCGGACUUGGAGACGAAGUCAUUUACAAUGAUAACAAGAGCAUUCAACAUCACUGGGCUGGAAACAGUGGCGAACCAGGGCUGAGCAAGAUGUGAUUCCUCUACUCAGCAAGCUGCCCAUCUGUCUAGUAGGAGAGAUGAGGAAACUCAAGAAGCUAUGAAAGGUGAAGGCAUUUGCUCAGAGUCACACAGCUACUGAGGAGCAAACCAAGGAUUUAACCCUUCAUCCCUUUAGCUUUGAGGAUCUUUCAGCUGCCCAGUGCCCGUGAAGAUGAAUAAAUAUUAACUAUUACUAUUAUCAUUAUCAGAAUCUUCCUCUCCCUGAAGGAAUUAAGAGAAGAAAAAGCAUCCUCAUUCUACCGCUUACUAGCUGUGUAACCAUGGGUAAUGUACUUAAUCUGUCUGUGCCUCAGUUUGUUCACCUAUAAAAUGGGGAUAUAGGACCUACCUCAAAGAGUUGUUGUGAAGAGUCAUGAGUGAAUACAUGCAAAGCAUUUGGCAAAGUGCCUGACACACAGUAGUGUUCAAUAAGUGUUAACUAUUAUUAUUAUCAUUGUUAUUAUUAUAGUUCUCUGAGCACCAGGAUCCAGGCUACCCACUGUGUGAGGCUCUAAGUUGGAGUCGCUGGGAUAUUGGGAAACAAAGAACAAAGAGGGCAGUGCAUGGGCAACCUAAGCUUUUGGCUGGAACUGGGGCUUGCAAGAUUUCUCCUUGAAAAGGAUAAUCUGAUCUCUCAGGCUUGGAGGGGCCAUAGAUACCAACUGCCACCUGCCAGGCCUCUGGGACCCUGCAAGUAAGAUGGGCUCCUUCACACCCAAAGCUGCCUAGGCUAUUUUUAGUGAUGAUAGCAGCUGGCC